UAUUGCCAUGUUUUUCUUGUUUUAUGCAUUUUUGUAUGUAUAUUUGUAGGUCAUAUUAUGAAUAUUUAUUUUUUUGUGCCCUUUCUAUAUUACUUGGGUGAGGCUUAAUAUAUAAGGAAGUGAGGUGUUACCAAGUGCGUUCUGGGUGGCCAGUGGUGACGUGGCCAGGGCUGUGUCGACACCAGGUUGGUGUUGGUUGUGUGGGGUGCACCUGGAUCCUGUGUUGGCCUUUAAAGGAUUUAUGUGGUGAUGUGGCUACUGUGCAGGGAGAGAUGGUGGAAUGCCGGCGACCUGACACAUUGUGAAUUAUCAGGGGUUGUGCGGGGUGCACCAGGUUCCUGUGGUGUCCUUCCAAGCUGGGAAGGUUUAGGAUGCAUAAUGGGUGUCCAAUUACGGGAGAUACCACGUUGAAACGCUUUGGGAAUUAAAGUUCCGACACCCUACCCGGUUUAACAUUGGUCAUCCUACAUCUUCCAUCCUCCACCGGUCUCGCUGGACAAGACUUUCUUUUUUCUCUCACCCCUAUUCUGUCUACCUCUCUAAUGCAAGAGUUAACCAUUGUUCAUCUCUUUCUUAGGUAAACUCUGGAAGUUUCUUCCUGCUUCUGUAUUUCCUCCUUCCUGUGACUUGAACUCUUUCUAGAGGGAGGUUUCAAGACACUUAUCCUGUAAUUUAUGAAUGCCGCUUUUGACUCUGUUCGGGGACCGGCACCUAAGUAAGCGUUUUUUUAAAUUUAUUUUUUUAUUAUUAGUUUUGUUGCCCUUGCCGG